UUUUUACGCUGUUAUUCGUCGAACUCAGUACCCGGAAGUGCUAGAAUGGACCGAAAGGCUUGCUCAAAGGGGUAUGACACUAAAAUCUGUACUGCCAACAAUUCCCUCAGAAGAUGCUGUUGAUGGAGAGCAAACCCAGGACCAAGGCAGGAGCACUUGCUCUCCUGGAAUGUACCAGAACACUAGAAGAUCCGAAGCAGAAUCAGUAAUAGAAGCAGGAAGAAGGACUUUUUUUUUCUCUAACCACUGUGCUGCAAAACCUUCAACUGUACUUUACCACAUCAUCAUCUCCAACUUCAGUUUAGAGACAUCCCACUGUUCUUCACAUUCCCAGAGUUCCUAUUUCUUUGCAAUAAUAAAU
rnacentral:lncRNA from 1 species